CGCAUAUUAUUUAUAUGCGUUUAUUAACACUUUAAUAUUUAUUACAGAGCCUUAUAAAACCUACACAUCUUAUUUGAUGAUGAGAUGAUCUUACAUUUCUAAACAUAUUACUUAUAUGUAGAACCUAUGUACCUACAUAUAAGUUAAAUUGUAUCUUAAAUUAUAAAAUCGUGAUAUUAGAAAACCACUGUGGUUUUUAUAAUGUAAUAGAAGUCAUGUGAUAGGAGCGUGACAAAUGUAUUUAAAGUCGUUUUUCAUUUUUUAUGUUGGUUAACGUUAGGCUAUUUGAUAAAUGACUGGGUAGUUUUAGACAUUUAAUAGUCGCAGUAGCAAAUAUCUUAACGUCCGCCGGUCCUUCCGCCUUUACAGAUCAGGAAUCCUCGAAAAUGCAUUUCGUAUUCAAGCAAAAACAAUGUGUGGGUAAUAUGAGUAAGAAAGUAAAUAAUUACUGUUGACGUAAUUACCAAACAAGAGUGCCCAGGGUGCUUACGUAAUGCUUGAAGCCCCUAAGUCUUUACAGCAGCUUGCCAUGCGAGAAACAAUAGCGGUGGCCACUUCGAAUACGCCUGCGAAGAUUUUUUAGUAGAUGGUAGAUGCAACAGCGUACGGCGUUGACGUGAUGUAUUG